CGGCGUGUAGCUCAGCAGCAGAGCACCGGGCUCUCAUCCCGGAGGGCACGGGGGCAGAACCCGUCACGCCGG
rfam:Streptomyces phaeoluteigriseus strain DSM 41896 Scaffold_17, whole genome shotgun sequence.